rnacentral:rRNA from 1 species
GGAAGGGUUGUAUUUAUUAGAUAAAGAACCAAUGUUUUUGGUGACUCAUAAUAACUUUACGGAUCACACUAUGUGACAUAUCAUUCAAGUUUCUGACCUAUCAGCUUUAGACGGUAGGGUAUUGGCCUACCGUGGCUAUGACGGGUAACGGGGAAUUAGGGUUCGAUUCCGGAGAGGGAGCCUGAGAAACGGCUACCACAUCUAAGGAAGGCAGCAGGCGCGCAAAUUACCCAAUCCUAAUACAGGGAGGUAGUGACAAGAAAUAACAAUACAGAGCCUUACGGUUUUGUAAUUGGAAUGAGUUAAGUAUAAACCCCUUAACAAGUAUCAAUUGGAGGGCAAGUCUGGUGCCAGCAGCCGCGGUAAUUCCAGCUCCAAUAGCGUAUAUUAAAGUUGUUGCAGUUAAAAAGCUCGUAGUUAAUUUUCUGUUAAUUUUUAUAUACAAUGCUACGGUAUUUAUAUAAUAUUAACAUAAUUCAUAUUACUUUUUAGUAUAUGAAACUUUACUUUGAGAAAAUUAGAGUGCUU